rnacentral:rRNA from 1 species
AGAGACAGCAGUAGCCGCGGGAAUACCGAGGGUGCGAGCGUUAAUCGGAUUUACUGGGCGUAAAGCGUGCGUAGGCGGCUUUUUAAGUCGGAUGUGAAAUCCCUGAGCUUAACUUAGGAAUUGCAUUCGAUACUGGGAAGCUAGAGUAUGGGAGAGGAUGGUAGAAUUCCAGGUGUAGCGGUGAAAUGCGUAGAGAUCUGGAGGAAUACCGAUGGCGAAGGCAGCCAUCUGGCCUAAUACUGACGCUGAGGUACGAAAGCAUGGGGAGCAAACAGGAUUAGAUACCCGAGUAGUCCUGUCUCUUAUACA